rnacentral:rRNA from 1 species
CUCUGUACGUCGGCGGCGCGAGAUCGCACGAGAUCCGGCUGUGAGAUCGGCGGCGGCGGCUGUGAGAUAGCAUGAGAUUGGGCUGUGAGAUCCGGCUGCGUCGGGCCGGUGGAGUAAUGGGGGCGGCGCCGGAGUGCGAGGAGAGGGAAGGAGAGAGCUCGCAUCGGGAGGGGUGGAUCGAGAGGAUCGGCGGCGCUGUGUGCCUGUGUCCUCGAGGGGAUCGAUAGGUUUUUUU